CAGCGCCGAUUCUGUCAGGUCCCCGUCGCCAUGACAACAGUCUGUGCAUCAGAGUUUGCCAGAUUCGUUGUUUUCAGAGGUGUAAAUUACCUGUUCGAUUGCCUCUGCUGGGCCUGAUGAACCUUCCACGAUCUAACAGGCUUAACCCCUGAUUCUGGCAAGUGCAGGUUUCUUGGUUUAUGUCAGAAAUAACCCCCCUUCUGAUAAUGAGGAAAGGGUAGAUUGUAGAUCUGUUGUUGUCAGGCUCAUUAGGAAUCAUCAGUCUCUUUCUUUGCCCAGAUAAAAUCAAAAUGUUGGCCCAACAAUUUCACAAAUUAUCACAAAUUCCAUGCAGUGGUAACCGUCUGUAAGGGGUAGAGAGGAAGCUCAUUGCAAACAGAAAUUGUGAGGGUGAGUCAAGGUUCUGAUCUUAAUCUGAGUUUUAUUUUAACUCUGGAAUUGUCUGCACACCAAAACCCGGCAAGACCAUAAUAAACAGCUAGUAUUAUUUAUUACAGAUUGCAAUUUAUACCGAAUGCUCAAUCAUAACUAGUUAAAGAGAUUUUCUCACAGAGCAUGAUGUGGAAAAAAAUAGAAGGGCGUGUUAUAAAAUACAGAAGUGUCAAACCACAUUGAAAAUCACUUCUUAAUCUGGUGUCAUUUCUUUCUUUCCAUUAUGUGUUUCGCACAGGUGCAGAUUAUGAUAUUACAUAUCAAAUACACUGUAUCUAAAUCUACUCUCUUAAGAGCAGAUAUCCCCCACUGCAGUAGUUUUCUCUAGGUUUUGUUUCUUCAGAACCAAAGAAAAAACAUUGCUUUGAAACAUAUUUACUGUAGCCCCUAUUAUCUCUAUAUCGGCAAACAUGUUUAUUUUGGUUUCUCCAAAAAAGUCUCCUUGCCCGGUUUUGUCAUCACAGCCAGCAUACCACCCACUGCAAAAAUUAUUUCAGAAUCAUUAACAUUAAGCCCUCGGUUUCAUUCUAGGAAAGGGGUUGCAGAUGGAUGAUUUUGAAAAGGCUGUUUUUCAGGUGCUCCACCAAACAUAAAUGAGGACAGCUCACCCAGUCAGGCUGCACCGAACUUCAGCUUGGCACUGGGACGGCCCGGGUGCCAAAUCGGCCGUCGGGGACUUUGAAUGAGGAACCUGGAGGAGGCCAGGUUUCCGGCGGUUGGUACUGGCGUACGGCCUCCGCCUUCCUUUCCAAGACCAGAGUGGUGUGAACGGGAGAACCGGAGAAGGAGGGCCUGCGAUUUCCGAAGUCUUGGAAAUGCAACAGAAACUUGCCUCCGGAGUUCCAAAGAUCUGCAGAACCACCGCACGACAGCGAUGUCAGAGAGGGUCCGCGGCUCUCCUCCAAUCAGCACUAACUCUCCUGUGAGGCAUGGUGGAGCUGGCAGCGUGGCAAAUUAGGAGUAGCAACGUCUUCUCCUAAGCAAGACCAACACAAUAAAUGAUCCUAUGUGAGAACAAACAGGAGCUGUGGUAGCUCAGACAGCAAGGGUGUGUAGCUCCUGACCGGGAGGUCCCGGGUUCAAACCAGUCGCUCUUCGUGGCCCAUGCCGUGUGCAGAUUGCUGAAAUUCUGGAUUUGCAGCCGACAAGUAAGAUGCUUAAGCCUUCACCGUUUGCGAGCCUGUCUAUCCACUCUUCCAGGGGUUGGGAUUAGGG